rnacentral:lncRNA from 1 species
UGAAAUCUUCACCAUCACAACUACUCACGCCAUCUCAAACCUCCAUCAACCACCACCGCCUGAAAACUGCAUCACUGAGAAGCACACCAACCACCAAAUUUUCGCCCUUUUACCCCAAACACCAUCGUCAGCCAAGAAAAAAUUUAUGCCUUGCACCAUCCUUUCAUUCUCCUACAAUCAUUUAUCUCUCUCCAAACGACCACAGAACUACCAUCACUCAAAAAUCAAUACCCUUCACCACCACACCAAAACCUACCAAGAACUGGUAAUCCCUUCUUCUCUAUAACAAACCAGCAAUGCAUAACAACAAUUUCUCUUUUCUCUUCUCUAUAACUGGAAUUCCGACCAACACCACAGUCGUUCUGCCUCUUUCUAUCUACAACCAUCACUUACCCUGUUCUUUAUUUGUGAAACCUUGAUCCUCCCAUCACCUUCCACCUCCAUCGUCAUUAUCCCUAACCCCCACUGGUAAUCAAUCCAUAUUCUCUGUGGUACCCUCCCUUCUAUUGUAGAGCAUAAAACCCUUCUCUAUUCAAUACAUUUCUCCCCCUUUUUCUUUAAAAUAAUUUCAGUCGUCCAGUACACCAACAAAAUUAGUGGACUUAUCUGAUAUCAUUUUGCACCACCUAAUGCUCUAAUACCAUUGUCACCAGAUCGAUGAACACACAUAGAAACAAAUCCGGUAAGAUUUUAACCCUAGAAAUUGUUGUUUUUCGUUAUUUGGCGUAGGGGUAAUAUUUAACCAUGGUGUUUUGCAGCCCAGGUGAUUUUUUUGUAUAUGCCAUGAGAUCUGGAGCUCAUCUCGAGACCUGCUUCCAUAAAAAUAAAUUCAAGCUUUUAGAUAGUUUUUGAGCUGUAGACAUUGUGAGCAGCCUUAAAAAGUGACUGAAGAUCUUAAGGUCUUU